UAACGGGGCUAAAACUAGUCACCGAAGCUGCGGAUGUGCGCGAAGGCGCACGUGGUAGGGGAGCGUUCUGUAGGCUGAUGAAGGUGCAUUGAGAGGUGUGCUGGAGGUAUCAGAAGUGCGAAUGCUGACAUGAGUAACGAUAAUGUGGGUGAAAAGCCCACACGCCGGAAGUCCCAGGUUUCCUGCACGACGUUAAUCGGAGCAGGGUGAGUCGGCCCCUAAGGCGAGGCUGAAGAGCGUAGUCGAUGGGAACCAGGUUAAUAUUCCUGGACUUUUUAUAAGUGGUGAAGUGGGGACGAAGAAGGCUAGGUGAGCCAGGCGUUGGUUGUCCUGGUACUUGCAUGUAGGGGGGAAGACUUGGCAAAUCCGGUUUUCCGAUACUCUGAGGUGCGAAGUGGUUCUGACCUUUUGGUACAGAGAAGUCAUUGAUGCCCGGCUUCCAGGAAAAGCUGCUAGCCAU
rnacentral:rRNA from 1 species